rnacentral:rRNA from 1 species
AUCGAACGCUGGCGGCAGGCCUAACACAUGCAAGUCGAACGGAGCUGCACACGGGUGAGUAAAGCCUAGGAUUCUGCCUGGGUGUGGGGCCUAACGUCCGGAAACAAGCGCUAAUACCGCAUACUAUCAUUUCAGCCUCGGUCGGAUUAGCUAGUUGUUGGGGUAAAUGCCUACCAAGUCGACGAUCCGUAACUGGUCUGAGAGGAUGAUCAGUAACACUGGAACUGAGACACGGUGCAGACUCCUACGGGAGGCAGCAGUGGGGAAGAUUGGGCAAUGGGCGAAAGCCUGACCCAGCCAUGCCGCGUGGGUGAAGAAGGUCUUCGGAUUGUAAAGCACUGUAAGUUGGGAGGCGGUACCAACAGAAUAAGCACCGGCUAACUUCGUGCCAGCAGCCGCGGUAAUAC